rnacentral:rRNA from 1 species
GACGAACGCUGGCGGCGUGCUUAACACAUGCAAGUCGAACGAAGCUUGAUUACGUAUUCUUCGGAUGAAGUAUGAUAUGACUGAGUUGCGGACGGGUUAGUAACGCGUUAGUAACCUGCCCUUCAGAGGGGGAUAGCGUUUGGAAACGAACGGUAAUACCGCAUAAUGUAUUUUGACCGCAUGAUCGAAAUACCAAAGAUUUAUCGCUGAAGGAUGGACUCGCGUCUGAUUAGGUAGUUGGUGGGGUAACGGCCUACCAAGCCGACGAUCAGUAGCCGGACGGAGAGGUGGAUCGGCCACAUUGGGACUGAGACACGGCCCAGACUCCUACGGGAGGCAGCAGUGGGGAAUAUUGCACAAUGGGCGCAAGCCUGAUGCAGCAACGCCGCGUGAAGGAAGACGGUUUUCGGAUUGUAAACUUCUGUUCUUAGUGAAGAAUAAUGACGGUAGCUAAGGAGCAAGCCACGGCUAACUACGUG